UUCAGAUGAUGAAAAACUUUUUUACAUUCAGUUCUGCUUCUGAACCAAAUUUUACAGGAAGAAAACUUUUAUUACCAAAGCUCAAUAUCUGAAAU